UGAUUUUUGGGGCAACCAACUGGGACUUGAUU
rnacentral:piRNA from 2 species